AUGCACGCUGGCGGCGUGCCUAAUACCUGCAAGUCGAGCGAACAGACGAGGAGCUUGCUCCUCUGACGUUAGCGGCGGACGGGUGAGUAACACGUGGAUAACCUACCUAUAAGACUGGGAUAACUUCGGGAAACCGGAGCUAAUACCGGAUAAUAUAUUGAACCGCAUGGUUCAAUAGUGAAAGACGGUUUUGCUGUCACUUAUAGGUGGAUCCGCGCCGCAUUAGCUAGUUGGUAAGGUAACGGCUUACCAAGGCAACGAUGCGUAGCCGACCUGAGAGGGUGAUCGGCCACACUGGAACUGAGACACGGUCCAGACUCCUACGGGAGGCAGCAGUAGGGAAUCUUCCGCAAUGGGCGAAAGCCUGACGGAGCAACGCCGCGUGAGUGAUGAAGGUCUUCGGAUCGUAAAACUCUGUUAUUAGGGAAGAACAAAUGUGUAAGUAACUAUGCACGUCUUGACGGUACCUAAUCAGAAAGCCACGGCUAACUACGUG
rnacentral:rRNA from 1 species